CAGGUAGCGGCUCAGACGUCGGUCGCGGGGGCGGCCCGGCCCGGCUGACUCGGCCCCGCACCGGCAACGACCCUGGCGUGCCGCUUAGCCGCAGUUCUGUCGGAAGGCAGCUUCUGUGAAGGAACCGUGCUGUCUGCAGAUGGGGAAUUCUGAGCGCUCCGUUAAAGUGGCUGGCCUGCGGCGGACGCCCGCCCAGUCCUGGAGAAUGAAUGAAGCUCGAUAGGAUCAGUUCUGAGUUGGUGGAUAUUUUGAGUGAAAUCUGGAACGCAAAUGAGAAGAAGUCUUCAAAGAGCAACUUGAUAAUGAGUCUACAGAGUCACCUAGGUGCCAAUGUCAGCAGGGCCAGGAGGUCACCAACAGCAAGUGGGAAGUGGAUCCGGAGCCCAUAUGUCUCUUCCUGGCCCUGGUCAUUGGAAUGGUCCUGGUGUCUCCAGUGGUUGUCCUCUUUAUUGAAGUCAUGCACUGAACCAUCCGGACUGAAUUUGUGCACUAAUCUUCAUAGCUACCGUCUUAGUAUUUUUGGCCUGCCAUAACAAAAUGGUAGGUAUAGCCUUGGCGGCUAAUAAAAAGCAGGGAUUUAUUUCUCACAGUCUAGAGUCCGAGAAGCGAGUCUGAGAUCAAGGCAUCAGCAG
rnacentral:lncRNA from 1 species